rnacentral:rRNA from 1 species
UAAGGAAUAUUGGUCAAUGGACGCAAGUCUGAACCAGCCAUGCCGCGUGAAGGAAGACGGCCCUACGGGUUGUAAACUUCUUUUGUACAGGAAAAAACCACCGGUCGUGUAUCGGUGCUGAUGGUACUGUAAGAAUAAGGAUCGGCUAACUCCGUGCCAGCAGCCGCGGUAAUACGGAGGAUCCAAGCGUUAUCCGGAUUCAUUGGGUUUAAAGGGUGCGCAGGCGGAAUGAUAAGUCAGUGGUGAAAUCCUACAGCUCAACUGUAGAACUGCCAUUGAUACUGUCGUUCUUGAGUACACUUGGAGUGGGCGGAAUGUGUCAUGUAGCGGUGAAAUGCUUAGAUAUGACACAGAACACCGAUCGCGAAGGCAGCUUACUACGCAUAUAUUGACGCUGAGGCACGAAAGCGUGGGGAUCAAACAGG